rnacentral:lncRNA from 1 species
UGCUUUUCAUUCAUAUUUCCAUUCUCCAUUCAAGAGCCUUUCCAUAUUUACAAAUAUCAAACGAAUAAAUAUAUUUCUUUGCUAUUGGAACCCGCUUAAAGUUCAUUAAGAUCCCAUAAGCUACCGUUCAGCCAAUCAAAUGAUAAACACUAAAAGAAAAAGACAGUUUGCCUGCCUGCCACAAAGCUAACUGUUCCAAUGUUCCGCUGAUGAUUAGUUAUCAGGUUUAUAUUUAUACAGUCUCCUCCCCACCAACCAAUCAUAAUAAUACUUUGACUUUAUUUCUUUUGUAAGCAGAUGUUUUAGCUGCCUCAGGCCUUCCCCCAUAUUAACUGAAGACGACCCCAUGCGGGGUCUACUAUUAGCCAGCCGCUUAUGACGCGAUGCCAACACUAUUUGGCCCAGAAGACACGGCUGGAGAGGAGGAGCGCAGCAGCCCCAUAAUUUCUAUGAUUAUGUUGAGUGCAAAGAGCACACAGCAUCCACUCUGAUCUUUCUUCCACUUGUCUGCCUCCCUGUCGCUUGGUCUGUCUUGGGGCUUGGGGUCUCUGUUCUCGCCUAAUACAACAGGCCCGCUAAUGCUGAUGACGAUGACGAUGAACACGUGCAGCAGCGACACCAAAAGAACAACAGCAACAACAGCAACAACAGAAAAUACACAGACAACGAUCGUUUCGCAUAAAGUGCAACUUUGAUGACUCUGAACGUUUUAUGACAAGAUCAGGGUACGUGGGUUAACGCAAGAGUUCGCCAGGUUAUUGAACAGAAAAAAAUCCCUGAACAGUUUUAUAUUUAAAAUUGGAUCUAAAACGAUAAGCUCAAAUAUUAUGCACCCAGAGUGGAAGUUGUCAAAAUAAAUGUAUGUGAAAAUGUUUGAAUUAAAUAUGAAAGUAUUUGAUUUAAAUAUCAAAAUAUUUAAAAUUGUAAUUUAAAAUUAAAUAUUCUUAUAUUCAGAAUCCACAAUUUCCUUGAAAAUAAUAUUUUGUUUUAUAUUUAUAUUAAAAAAUAGUAUUUUAUAUUUAAAUCAAAAUAAAUUCUAUUAAAUAUCUCUCUGUUCGUAUGUAAAAAUCGAGAACUUAAUUUAAAUGUUGUAGUUUUUUAUAACAAAUUUACAUAUCUGUACAAAUUAGAUAUUUAUUGUUUAUUUUAUAUUGCCUUUAAUUUUACAUUUAUUUUUUAAUCAAUUCACCUGCAGAUUCUACUGCACUCCUCAAGCUACCCUCGUUCCCGCAAUGGCCUCCGGCUCAUCAGGCAUUUGGACAUAGUGUGACCGACCGACCGGGCGCUGCUGCGGCUGCCUGGCAUUUGACAUUUGAUGGCGUGCGCUUGUCCCAUAACCAUUUCUUUAAGCUAAUAACAACAGCACAGCAC